rnacentral:tRNA from 2 species
GGUGAGAUGGCCGAGUGGUUAUGGCGCUGCGUUCAGGCGAACCCUGGAUUCAAAUUUCGCAGUGGAGCAAUCCGCGUGGGUUCGAGUCCCACUCUCAUCA